UUCAAAUGUUAGGCAGAUGGCCCCAAUUUUAGUAUUGGGUAUGAGAAUUAAUGACUGGGCCCCAUUUUGAUACUUCAAAUCUUCGCAUUUUGACUUUCUUGGGCUGUUCAGAAUGAGACGGUGAAGGAAGUUCCAUCAGCAGUUAUAUAAUUACUUGACAACUGACAAUGACGACUCCUCAUCCAUAGCCUCAGCCUCAAAGCUGAUCUUUUUUCACUUGCACCAUUUAUGGAUCUUCUGCUAUGAUCACAAUCCAAGCAAAAGUAAUUCAUCUUUCCCAAAGAAAGAAAAAUAGCAUAUUGAAUGUUUCAG
rnacentral:misc_RNA from 1 species